CAGCAGCCGCGGGAAUGCGAAGGGGGCUAGCGUUGCUCGGAAUGACUGGGCGUAAAGGGCGCGUAGGCGGUUCAUACAGUCAGAUGUGAAAUUCCUGGGCUCAACCUGGGGACUGCAUUUGAUACGUAUGGACUUGAGUGGAGAAGAGGGUUGUGGAAUUUCCAGUGUAGAGGUGAAAUUCGUAGAUAUUGGAAAGAACACCGGUGGCGAAGGCGGCAACCUGGUCUUUAACUGACGCUGAGGCGCGAAAGCGUGGGGAGCAAACAGGAUUAGAUACCCCAGUAGUCCCUGUCUCUUAUAC
rnacentral:rRNA from 1 species